rnacentral:rRNA from 1 species
UUUAUGGAGAGUUUGAUCCUGGCUCAGGAUGAACGCUGGCGGCGUGCCUAAUACAUGCAAGUCGAGCGAACGGACGAGAAGCUUGCUUCUCUGAUGUUAGCGGCGGACGGGUGAGUAACACGUGGAUAACCUACCUAUAAGACUGGGAUAACUUCGGGAAACCGGAGCUAAUACCGGAUGAUAUUUUGAACCGCAUGGUUCAAAAGUGAAAGACGGUCUUGCUGUCACUUAUAGAUGGAUCCGCGCUGCAUUAGCUAGUUGGUAAGGUAACGGCUUACCAAGGCAACGAUGCAUAGCCGACCUGAGAGGGUGAUCGGCCACACUGGAACUGAGACACGGUCCAGACUCCUACGGGAGGCAGCAGUAGGGAAUCUUCCGCAAUGGGCGAAAGCCUGACGGAGCAACGCCGCGUGAGUGAUGAAGGUCUUCGGAUCGUAAAACUCUGUUAUUAGGGAAGAACAUAUGUGUAAGUAACUGUGCACAUCUUGACGGUACCUAAUCAGAAAGCCACGGCUAACUACGUGCCAGCAGCCGCGGUAAUACGUAGGUGGCAAGCGUUAUCCGGAAUUAUUGGGCGUAAAGCGCGCGUAGGCGGUUUUUUAAGUCUGAUGUGAAAGCCCACGGCUCAACCGUGGAGGGUCAUUGGAAACUGGAAAACUUGAGUGCAGAAGAGGAAAGUGGAAUUCCAUGUGUAGCGGUGAAAUGCGCAGAGAUAUGGAGGAACACCAGUGGCGAAGGCGACUUUCUGGUCUGUAACUGACGCUGAUGUGCGAAAGCGUGGGGAUCAAACAGGAUUAGAUACCCUAGUAGUCCACGCCGUAAACGAUGAGUGCUAAGUGUUAGGGGGUUUCCGCCCCUUAGUGCUGCAGCUAACGCAUUAAGCACUCCGCCUGGGGAGUACGACCGCAAGGUUGAAACUCAAAGGAAUUGACGGGGACCCGCACAAGCGGUGGAGCAUGUGGUUUAAUUCGAAGCAACGCGAAGAACCUUACCAAAUCUUGACAUCCUUUGACAACUCUAGAGAUAGAGCCUUCCCCUUCGGGGGACAAAGUGACAGGUGGUGCAUGGUUGUCGUCAGCUCGUGUCGUGAGAUGUUGGGUUAAGUCCCGCAACGAGCGCAACCCUUAAGCUUAGUUGCCAUCAUUAAGUUGGGCACUCUAAGUUGACUGCCGGUGACAAACCGGAGGAAGGUGGGGAUGACGUCAAAUCAUCAUGCCCCUUAUGAUUUGGGCUACACACGUGCUACAAUGGACAAUACAAAGGGCAGCGAAACCGCGAGGUCAAGCAAAUCCCAUAAAGUUGUUCUCAGUUCGGAUUGUAGUCUGCAACUCGACUACAUGAAGCUGGAAUCGCUAGUAAUCGUAGAUCAGCAUGCUACGGUGAAUACGUUCCCGGGUCUUGUACACACCGCCCGUCACACCACGAGAGUUUGUAACACCCGAAGCCGGUGGAGUAACCUUUUAGGAGCUAGCCGUCGAAGGUGGGACAAAUGAUUGGGGUGAAGUCGUAACAAGGUAGCCGUAUCGGAAGGUGCGGCUGGAUCACCUCCUUUCU